rnacentral:rRNA from 2 species
GCGGCGGACGGGUGAGUAACACGUGGGCAACCUGCCCUGCAGACUGGGAUAACUUCGGGAAACCGGAGCUAAUACCGGAUAACACCGAAAACCGCAUGGUUUUCGGUUGAAAGGCGGCUUUUAGCUGUCACUGCAGGAUGGGCCCGCGGCGCAUUAGCUAGUUGGUGAGGUAACGGCUCACCAAGGCGACGAUGCGUAGCCGACCUGAGAGGGUGACCGGCCACACUGGGACUGAGACACGGCCCAGACUCCUACGGGAGGCAGCAGUAGGGAAUCUUCCGCAAUGGACGAAAGUCUGACGGAGCAACGCCGCGUGAGCGAAGAAGGUCUUCGGAUCGUAAAGCUCUGUUGUCAGGGAAAGAACAAGUGCCGUUCGAACAGGGCGGUACCUUGACGGUACCUGACGAGGAAGCCACGGCUAACUACGUGCCAGCAGCCGCGGUAAUAC